rnacentral:misc_RNA from 1 species
GAACGCAAAUUGCACUUUCUGGUAAUCCGGAGAGUAUGCCUGUUUGAGGGUCGUUUAAAUAAAAUAUCGGUUUGUCGUUUUAUGCUUGACAUGUUCGACGUACCGGAAUUGGGUCAUCUUAGCCUUUCGAGUUUGAAGAGACCUAAAAUUUUAUCGUACUUUUUCGGUAUGAUUACGUACUUAAUCUGUCGUUUGAAUGCCGAAUGUGUUUUUAUUAGACGGUGACUACUGAAUAGUCUCGCGUCCAUAAAUUUUUUCGAAUUUCGACCUCAAAUCAGGUAAGAGUACCCGCUGAACUUAAG